AGUCGCCAUUUUACCGGAAGUCCCCAGCUGACCAACAUCCGGUACAAACAGUCGUCUGCUUUCUUUCCGUAGCUCUCAGUCCACUAUUCAGAUUUUCUACUGUUCAUAUCCAUCAGAAUAAAUCCGUGUCGGUACCGGAGUUGGAGGCACGAGACGUAAGACCGUGAAUGACCGAAAAUGGCGGUCGAUCGCCGCGAGGACAAAGAUGGCGAGCUCAACGUUCUGGAAGAUAUCUUAACUGAAGCACCAGAUCACGACGAUGAGCUUUAUAACCCUGAAACUGAGCGACACAUCACAGACAAGAAAGGAGCAAAACGAAAGAGUGAACAUUCAGAGAGCCACGAUCGAAAGAGGCAGCGGACCUCUUCCAGCCACACCUCCUCCAGGUCGUCCAUCACCAACAAGAGAGGCUCAGGAGCCCCUCUUUCAUCUUCCUCCUCUAAGAGGGCAGCGAGUAGUCCACAUGGCCGCCAUGGCAGCAGUAGCUACCGCGGCGAUUACUAUGAGGAGCGAAAGAGCCGCAGAGGAGCACGAGAUGCUACCAGGAGUCGAGGAGGCGAGGCUGCUCGACGUCGAGAUUCUCCCAGAGACCUGGAAGGUGUCAACCAGAAGCCGCUGCGUGAUGAGCGUCAGACAAGCCCCUCCCACCGUCUGGAAGGUAACCAAUCAGAAGAGGAUGCAGCACCAGAAUAUGGCUCAGAGCAGCGGUCAGGAAGCUCCUCCCCCGCUGCCUCUCAUGAAGAAGAAGAACAAGACGAGGAUGAAGAAGAAGAGGGUGAGGAAGAAGAGGAGGAGGAUGACGAAGAGGAGGAGGAAGAUGAGGAAGGAGAGAAAAACGAGGAAGAUGAGGAGGAGGAAGAGGAGUAUGAACGGCGUGGCGAGGGUAAUGACUACGAUACUCGCAGUGAGGCGGGUGAUUCUCGCUCUGCGUCCUCCAUCAGUUUUUCCGACGAUGGCGAGUCAGCGCACUCUGCCUCGGCCUCUGAUGCCUCAGGUUCAGAGAAGAAACGGGAGAAGCUGUCAUCAUCAGUGCGAGCCGUCCGCAAAGGAAUGGAAAAUCCAACUGGUAAUCUUCGUUACAUCCUGCAGGACGCUCGCUUCUUCCUCAUCAAGAGUAACAACCAUGAGAACGUAUCUCUGGCUAAAGCUAAAGGCGUUUGGUCCACGCUGCCUGUCAACGAGAAGAAACUCAACGCAGCGUUCCGCUCAGUUCGCAGCGUCAUCCUGGUUUUUUCUGUGCGAGAGAGCGGUAAAUUCCAAGGUUUUGCUCGCUUGGCUUCAGAGUCCCAACAUGGCGGCUCUCCCAUUCACUGGGUUCUUCCUGCUGGCAUGAAUGCCAAGAUGCUGGGUGGAGUCUUUAAAAUCGACUGGCUGUGCAGACGAGAACUUCCGUUUACCAAGACGACACAGCUUUCAAAUCCCUGGAAUGAGCACAAGCCAGUCAAGAUUGGCCGCGAUGGACAGGAAAUACAACCGGAUGUCGGCGCUCAGCUCUGUUUGCUGUUCCCGUUGGACGAAAGCGUGGAUAUCCACCAGGUGGCUGGCCGUAUUCGUCACAAGCGCCGAACGCCAUCUGCAACACGGCCUCGUGGCCGACCGCCGCUGCGUGAACCGGGAAGGUUAGCCAUUCGCCAAGCUCCUCCCACUUCCUGUUGUUCUUCUCCUGCUUCAACCACGGCUCCACCUGCCGCCGGACAUGGAAGACCCCCCGCUGCUGUUAGCCCGUGGCUAGCAUUGCACCUACUCGGGUUGAGGUCAUUGUUGCUCUCCCAGUCUGCAAUUUUCCACCGGAGUGACGCCUCGCUGUGCGUCCAGCAUCUUGGGUCAAAGUUGAUAAGUGAGGCAGGAAGUUGACGUUGCUGAGGUGGUGCUCGGCUAACAGUCAUGUUUUUCUCUUUGAUGUGAAGAGAAGGUGUAUUUAGCGAAAUGUUUGCCCUCUAGAUGGACUGACCCUUUCAUAAAAGAAAGGACGAGCUGGACUGAUGGAAACGUGAAGGGGCGAGGGAGCUAAAACACAGAGAGGGACUGUGAUCUUCCAUGGACUGUUUCUGGGGGUUUUGGAAGGUGGGGCAGGUUGGGGGAGGGGUCACUGGACUCUAUCCAAUGAGGGAUGACAAUCAGGUAAUUACUGAAAAGAUGGACUCUUAAAAGGUGGACCUAUAUAAUCCCCCCUCCCAUGAGAGAACAAUUAAAAAGAAGCCAACACACACGCUUAAUAAGGACAGUGUUGUUGGGUGUGUGUGUGUGUGUUUGAAGGACUAAACCACAGUCUGGAGAGGUGGGGCUCCUUUUGCCAAGGGCGGGAAAUUGGUUUAUUGACUGACAGGACUGCACCACCAUUAUACCCCCACCUUUUCACAUUAUUUAAAAAUCCUUAUGGACGGAGCUAGAAUCCAAAGUCCACAUUUACCUCACAAGCGGCGUCGUCUUGAAGAGUACGACCUUCAUGGCAGGAAGCGACCUCGAGUUGAGUGUCCAGACUUCAACCAGCGAUCAGGUUGUGAAAUGAAAGUCACUGAAAAGAAAAAAACAAGCCUGAAAUGUUCUCCAUUGUGUUCUUUGACAUUU